rnacentral:ncRNA from 2 species
UAAAUAUCAAGAAGAGGUUAGGGAUCUGGCCCGUUGACCCUCUACCAACCUACCCGAGCUUGUCGGGGAAGGUGGUAAUUCCAGCCCAUGAUGGGAAAGAUACGUU